UCCGAGUUGACCCCGGCAGUCUCCCAUGAGUCCCCGCCAUUACGCGCUGGCAACAUGGAACGAGGGUUGCGCUCGUUGCGGGACUUAACCCAACAUCUCACGACACGAGCUGACGACAGCCAUGCACCACCUGUGCACAGGCCCCGAAGGGCUGCCGUAUUUCUACGACAUUCCAGUGCAUGUCAAGCCCUGGUAAGGUUCUUCGCGUCGCGUCGAAUUAAACCACAUGCUCCGCUGCUUGUGCGGGCCCCCGUCAAUUCCUUUGAGUUUCAGCCUUGCGGCCGUACUCCCCAGGCGGGGCACUUAUCGCGUUAGCGCCGGUACUCCAAGGGUCGCUCCCCGGAGCACCUAGUGCCCAUCGUUUACGGCGUGGACUAC
rnacentral:misc_RNA from 1 species